rnacentral:rRNA from 1 species
UACGUAGGGUGCGAGCGUUGUCCGGAAUUAUUGGGCGUAAAGCGUGCGCAGGCGGUUUUGUAAGUCUGUCGUGAAAUCCCCGGGCUCAACCUGGGAAUGGCCGUUGAAACUGGCGAACUGGAGUGUGGCAGAGGGGGGUGGAAUUCCGCGUGUAGCAGUGAAAUGCGUAGAGAUGCGGAGGAACACCGAUGGCGAAGGCAGCCCCCUGGGCUGACACUGACGCUCAGGCACGAAAGCGUGGGGAGCAAACAGG